GAUGAACGCUGGCGGCGUGCCUAAUACAUGCAAGUCGAGCGGACAGACGAGGAGCUUGCUGCGCGGACGUGAGCGGCGAGGGGGUGAGUAACACGUGUAAAACCUACCUGUAAGACGGGUAUAAUUUCGGGAAACGGGAGCUUAUACCGUAGGAUAUAUUGAUGCGCAUGGUGCAAUGGUGAGAUACGGUGGUGGUGGCAGUAAUAGAUGGAUCCGGGCCGCAUUGGCUGGUUGUGAAGGUAACGGCUUACCAAGGGAACGAGGGGUAGACGACCUGAGAGAGUGGUCGCCGACACUGGAAGUGAGACACGGUCCAGACUCCUGAGGGAGGCAGCAGUAGGGAACCUGCCGCAAUGGGGGAGAGCCUGACGGAGCAACGCCGCGUGAGUGAUGAAGGUCCUCGGUUCGUGAAACUCUGUUAUUAGGGAAGAACAAAUGUGUACGUAACUAUGCAGGUAUUGACGGUAACUGAUCAGAAAGCCCCGGCUAACUACGUG
rnacentral:rRNA from 1 species